GUGGGGAAUCUUGCGCAAUGGGCGAAAGCCUGACGCAGCCAUGCCGCGUGAAUGAUGAAGGUCUUAGGAUUGUAAAAUUCUUUCACCGGGGACGAUAAUGACGGUACCCGGAGAAGAAGCUCCGGCUAACUUCGUGCCAGCAGCCGCGGUAAUACGAAGGGGGCUAGCGUUGCUCGGAAUUACUGGGCGUAAAGGGCGCGUAGGUGGACAGCUUAGUCAGAGGUGAAAGCCCAGGGCUCAACCUUGGAAUUGCCUUUGAUACUGGCUGUCUUGAGUUUGGGAGAGGUGAGUGGAACUCCGAGUGUAGAGGUGAAAUUCGUAGAUAUUCGGAAGAACACCAGUGGCGAAGGCGACUCACUGGCCCAAUACUGACGCUGAGGCGCGAAAGCGUGGGGAGCAAACAGGAUUAGAAACCCCGGUAGUCC
rnacentral:rRNA from 1 species